CACGUAGGGCGCAAGCGUUGUCCGGAAUUAUUGGGCGUAAAGAGCUCGUAGGCGGUCUGUUGCGUCCGCUGUGAAAACUCGGGGCUUAACCCCGAGCCUGCAGUGGAUACGGGCAGGCUAGAGUCCGGCAGGGGAGACUGGAAUUCCUGGUGUAGCGGUGAAAUGCGCAGAUAUCAGGAGGAACACCGGUGGCGAAGGCGGAUCUCUGGGCCUUACCUGACGCUGAGGCGCGAAAGCUAGGGGAGCAAACAGG
rnacentral:rRNA from 1 species